UACCCUACGGAAUAACGCAUGGAAACGUGUGCUANNACNGUAUACGCCCUUCGGGGGAAAGAUUUAUCGGGGUAUGAUGAGCCCGCGUUGGAUGAGCUAGUUGGUGGGGUAAAGGCCUACCAAGGCGACGAUCCAUAGCUGGUCUGAGAGGAUGAUCAGCCACAUUGGGACUGAGACACGGCCCAAACUCCUACGGGAGGCAGCAGUGGGGAAUAUUGGACAAUGGGCGCAAGCCUGAUCCANCCAUGCCGCGUGAGUGAUGAAGGUCUUAGGAUUGUAAAGCUCUUUCACCGAUGAAGAUAAUGACGGUAGUCGGAGAAGAAGCCCCGGCUAACUUCGUGCCAGCAGCCGCGGUAAUACGAAGGGGGCUAGCGUUGUUCGGAAUUACUGGGCGUAAAGCGCACGUAGGCGGAUAUUUAAGUCAGGGGUGAAAUCCCGCAGCUCAACUGCGGAACUGCCUUUGAUACUGGGUAUCUCGAGUAUGGAAGAGGUGAGUGGAAUUCCGAGUGUAGAGGUGAAAUUCNUANAUNUUCNGAGGAACACCAGUGGCGAAGGCGGCUCACUGGUCCNUUACUGACGCUGAGGUGCNAAAGCGUGGGGAGCAAAACAGGAUUAUGAUACCCUGGUAGU
rnacentral:rRNA from 2 species